rnacentral:tRNA from 1 species
UAGCUCAGUAGAUAAGAGUGCUUGCCUCGCAUGCAUAAGGCCCUGGGUUCAAUCCCCAG